rnacentral:piRNA from 1 species
UGGGAAGCAGUUUUGGUGCCAAACCUCAUG